rnacentral:rRNA from 1 species
GAUGAACGCUGGCGGCGUGCCUAAUACAUGCAAGUCGAGCGAACAGACGAGGAGCUUGCUCCUCUGACGUUAGCGGCGGACGGGUGAGUAACACGUGGAUAACCUACCUAUAAGACUGGGAUAACUUCGGGAAACCGGAGCUAAUACCGGAUAACAUGUUGAACCGCAUGGUUCAACAGUGAAAGACGGUCUUGCUGUCACUUAUAGAUGGAUCCGCGCCGCAUUAGCUAGUUGGUAAGGUAACGGCUUACCAAGGCAACGAUGCGUAGCCGACCUGAGAGGGUGAUCGGCCACACUGGAACUGAGACACGGUCCAGACUCCGACGGGAGGCAGCAGUAGGGAAUCUUCCGCAAUGGGCGAAAGCCUGACGGAGCAACGCCGCGUGAGUGAUGAAGGGCUUCGGAUCGUAAAACUCUGUUAUUAGGGAAGAACAAAUGUGUAAGUAACGAUGCACGUCUGGACGGUACCUAAUCAGAAAGCCACGGCUAACUACGG